rnacentral:other from 15 species
UUAUAUUUUGCAAAUAUUUGGGGAGACACUGACUUUUCUCCCCGUGCUCUCCCAUUCCUCUCUGCGGAGUGCGCUGCGCCACCCAGCCCUGUCGCUUCCCAGGAGGUGAUCACUUGCCUCCUGCCUGCCCGCCAGCCUGACCUGUGCCCGGCUCGCGGGCCGCAGCCUCGGCUCCGGCGCACCCCCGGCAGCUCUCAGCGCGAUG